AGGGUACUCCCUCCGUUCGGAAUUACUUGUCGCGGAAAUGGAUGUAUCUAGACGUAUUUUAGUUCUAGAUACAUCCAUUUCCGACACAAGUAAUUCCGAACGGAGGGAGUAGGUU
rfam:Triticum aestivum genome assembly, contig: Triticum_aestivum_CS42_TGACv1_scaffold_062651_1DL